rnacentral:rRNA from 1 species
AUUGAACGCUGGCGGCAGGCCUAACACAUGCAAGUCGAGCGGAUGAAGGGAGCUUGCUCCUUGAUUUAGCGGCGGACGGGUGAGUAAUGCCUAGGAAUCUGCCUGGUAGUGGGGGAUAACGUUCCGAAAGGAACGCUAAUACCGCAUACGUCCUACGGGAGAAAGCAGGGGACCUUCGGGCCUUGCGCUAUCAGAUGAGCCUAGGUCGGAUUAGCUAGUUGGUGAGGUAAUGGCUCACCAAGGCGACGAUCCGUAACUGGUCUGAGAGGAUGAUCAGUCACACUGGAACUGAGACACGGUCCAGACUCCUACGGGAGGCAGCAGUGGGGAAUAUUGGACAAUGGGCGAAAGCCUGAUCCAGCCAUGCCGCGUGUGUGAAGAAGGUCUUCGGAUUGUAAAGCACUUUAAGUUGGGAGGAAGGGCAGUAAGUUAAUACCUUGCUGUUUUGACGUUACCGACAGAAUAAGCACCGGCUAACUUCGUGCCAGCAGCCGCGGUAAUACGAAGGGUGCAAGCGUUAAUCGGAAUUACUGGGCGUAAAGCGCGCGUAGGUGGUUCGUUAAGUUGGAUGUGAAAGCCCCGGGCUCAACCUGGGAACUGCAUCCAAAACUGGCGAGCUAGAGUACGGUAGAGGGUGGUGGAAUUUCCUGUGUAGCGGUGAAAUGCGUAGAUAUAGGAAGGAACACCAGUGGCGAAGGCGACCACCUGGACUGAUACUGACACUGAGGUGCGAAAGCGUGGGGAGCAAACAGG